GCCUUGGUGACUCUGGAUAACUUUGCGGAUCGCACGGUCUAGCACCGGCGACGGGAUCAUUCAAGUGUCUGCCCUAUCAACUUUCGUCGGUACGGUAUUUGCCUACCGAGGUUCUUACGGGUGACGGGGAAUCAGGGUUCGAUUCCGGAGAGGGAGCCUGAGAAACGGCUACCACAUCCAAGGAAGGCAGCAGGCGCGCAAAUUACCCAUUCCCGACGCGGGGAGGUAGUGACGAAAAAUAACAAUGCAGGACUCGUUCGAGGCCCUGUAAUUGGAAUGAGUACACUUUAAAAGCUUUAACGAGUAUCCAUUGGAGGGCAAGUCUGGUGCCAGCAGCCGCGGUAAUUCCAGCUCCAAAAGUAUAUAUUUAAGUUGUUGCGGUUAAAAAGCUCGUAGUUGGAUUUUGGGCGCAGGCGGCCGGUCCGUCGCAAGGCGUGUACUGGACGUCCUGGCCUUCCCUCCGGUUCUCCGCCGGUGCUCUUGACUGAGUGUCGGCGGCGGCCGGAACGUUUACUUUGAAAAAAUUAGAGUGUUCAAAGCAGGCUCUCGAGCCUGGAUAAUGGUGCAUGGAAUAAUGGAAUAGGACCUCGGUUCUAUUUUGUUGGUUUUCGGAGCGCGAGGUAAUGAUUAAGAGGGACAGACGGGGGCAUUCGUACUGUGCCGUUAGAGGUGAAAUUCUUGGAUCGGCGCAAGACGAACGAUUGCGAAAGCAUUUGCCAAGAAUGUUUUCUUUAAUCAAGAGCGAAAGUCAGAGGUUCGAAGACGAUCAGAUACCGUCCUAGUUCUGACUAUAAACGAUGCCAACUAGCGAUCGGGGGGCGUUACAUUGACGACCCCUCCGGCAGCUUACGGGAAACCAAAGUCUUUGGGUUCCGGGGGAAGUAUGGUUGCAAAGCUGAAACUUAAAGGAAUUGACGGAAGGGCACCACCAGGAGUGGAGCCUGCGGCUUAAUUUGACUCAACACGGGAAAUCUCACCCGGCCCGGACACAGUGAGGAUUGACAGAUUGAGAGCUCUUUCUUGAUUCUGUGGGUGGUGGUGCAUGGCCGUUCUUAGUUGGUGGAGCGAUUUG
rnacentral:rRNA from 1 species